GUGAGGAAUAUUGGACAAUGGAGGAAACUCUGAUCCAGCCAUGCCGCGUGAGUGAUGAAGGCCUUAGGGUUGUAAAGCUCUUUUACCAGGGAUGAUAAUGACAGUACCUGGAGAAUAAGCUCCGGCUAACUCCGUGCCAGCAGCCGCGGUAAUACGGAGGGAGCUAGCGUUGUUCGGAAUUACUGGGCGUAAAGCGCACGUAGGCGGUUACUCAAGUCAGAGGUGAAAGCCCGGGGCUCAACCCCGGAACUGCCUUUGAAACUAGGUAACUAGAAUCUUGGAGAGGUCAGUGGAAUUCCGAGUGUAGAGGUGAAAUUCGUAGAUAUUCGGAAGAACACCAGUGGCGAAGGCGACUGACUGGACAAGUAUUGACGCUGAGGUGCGAAAGCGUGGGGAGCAAACAGGAUUAGAUACCCGUGUAGUCC
rnacentral:rRNA from 1 species